AUAUGCACAGCGUAAUUAUAUAUAUUUUUAUCUUGGUAGACGACCGAUUGCCUGCUAGUUUGUUAGCUCGACUGCACCAUGUGAUGGGUGAUGUUCAGCGCAUGAAGCCCUACAGAUGCCGCCGAUUCAACAAUGCUGAUUAUGAUGGGCGGUGAAUUUAACCUUUGCCUUAUUAGGUCCUCCACAGUCGCCCCAUCAGUCCCUGGCAGUCUGGUCCCUGGAGCAGCUGGCCCUGGCAAAAGCUAUUCCUUCACUGUUGACCCCUGACUGACUGGCCCUCGGCACACAAAUCCCUGGAUCACCCGCCACUGGAUCACCUGCCACUGGAUCACCUGCCCCUGAAUCACCUGGCAAUGUGGCCUCUUGAUUGCUCUCCCUGUCUCCUGUGAUGUCCUUUUCAACGCUCUUGAAAUCCACCUAAAUUUCUC
ensembl:lncRNA